rnacentral:rRNA from 1 species
GACGAACGCUGGCGGCGUGCUUAACACAUGCAAGUCGAGCGGUAAGGCCCUUUCGGGGGUACACGAGCGGCGAACGGGUGAGUAACACGUGGGUGACCUGCCCUCAGCUCUGGGAUAAGCCUGGGAAACUGGGUCUAAUACUGGAUAUGACUCCACGGUGCAUGUCGUGGGGUGGAAAGCCUUGUGCGGCUGAGGAUGGGCCCGCGGCCUAUCAGCUUGUUGGGGGGUGAUGGCCUACCAAGGCGACGACGGGUAGCCGGCCUGAGAGGGCGACCGGCCACACUGGGACUGAGACACGGCCAGACUCCUACGGGAGGCAGCAGUGGGGAAUCUUGCGCAAUGGGCGAAAGCCUGACGCAGCGACGCCGCGUGA